rnacentral:rRNA from 1 species
GGUGACCUGCGGAGGAUCAUUACUGAGUGAGGGCCCUCUGGGUCCAACCUCCCACCCGUGUUUAUUGUACCUUGUUGCUUCGGUGCGCCCGCCUCACGGCCGCCGGGGGGCUUCUGCCCCCGGGUCCGCGCGCACCGGAGACACUAUUGAACUCUGUCUGAAGAUUGCAGUCUGAGCAUAAACUAAAUAAGUUAAAACUUUCAACAACGGAUCUCUUGGUUCCGGCAUCGAUGAAGAACGCAGCGAAAUGCGAUAACUAAUGUGAAUUGCAGAAUUCAGUGAAUCAUCGAGUCUUUGAACGCACAUUGCGCCCCCUGGUAUUCCGGGGGGCAUGCCUGUCCGAGCGUCAUUGCUGCCCUCAAGCACGGCUUGUGUGUUGGGCUCCGUCCCCCCGGGGACGGGUCCGAAAGGCAGCGGCGGCACCGAGUCCGGUCCUCGAGCGUAUGGGGCUUUGUCACCCGCUCUGUAGGCCCGGCCGGCGCCAGCCGACAACCAAUCAUCCUUUUUUCAGGUUGACCUCGGAUCAGGUAGGGAUACCCGCUGAACUUAAGCAUAUCAAUAAGCGGAGGAAAAGAAACCAACAGGGAUUACCUCAGUAACGGCGAGUGAAGCGGUAAGAGCUCAAAUUUGAAAGCUGGCUCCUUCGGGGUCCGCAUUGUAAUUUGCAGAGGAUGUUUCGGGAGCAGCCCCCAUCUAAGUGUCCUGGAACGGACCGUCAUAGAGGGUGAGAAUCCCGUAUGGGGAUGGGGUGUCUGCGCCCAUGUGAAACUCCUUCGACGAG